GAUUGGCUGGGAAGCCUCUCUCUGGCUGAGCGAACGGUGGGUGCUGCGCAUGCUCAUCUACAGAAACGCCGCUUGGCCUUUGGACUACACCAUCUGUCGCUCGCUCUAACGAGCCGGCGUUGCCGCCAGGGGACGCUCGGGCCGCAGGAGGUCGCUGGGUCGUGAGCUGGCGCCGGGGACGCCGAGCGACUGCGGGGUUUCCCUCAGCGUCCUGCUAUCCGGCUGCCCGCCGCGCUCCUUGGUAGUGUCCGUGGGCGCGCAGGCCUUGAAGAACCUCCUCGUGGCGGGACCCCGAGGUAACUGCUGAGGCAGAUAAUGGCGCCUGGGCUGCGGUGGGGCUUGUCCUGCCGCCUGGCGGCUUUCUGCAGGGCCAGGAUAUACUUACUUUUCUGUAAACCAACUCUUCCUUAGCGCAGGAGAGGUGUCAAAGAGCUGGCGCGUCUCCAGAGCCCCGGGAGGAAGGCUGUAACGGCAGCCCCAUCGUAGACAGGGACAUUCGCAUCCCGAGCCCUGGAUCUCUGAAAACCAGCCCAGAAUUUGGAAGCUGGAAGGAACUUUAGAUCGUCCAUUCUGAGUGUCUCUCUUCGCUGGCGUUUUCCCACUGAGGUUAUGUAAACAUGAAGAGGAGCCUACAAGUGUCAAGGAAAAAACGACAGCUAACCACAGGGCAGGCCAUGGGCAAGAUAUCUCAGUGUUCUCCGCUCUCAUAGGUCAGGUAGGUACCUCAGCAUCCCCAUUUUACAGGUGAGGAAACUGAGAUGGCCCAGAGUCUAGGUCACCUGACAGAUCGCCCCCACCUGCCUGACUGCUGCCUAAGAGGCUCCGUCUUUUUCUGAAGGUGUAGUUGACAGGAGCCUGUGAGUAUUGGGGAAGGGCCAGGGGCCGGGGCUGAGCAUCUACUCCAAACUUUCCCAUUUCGAAGGGUUAAAAAACCAGAUAUACUUUUUUUCUUCCUUAUUAUCUUCUAAAAUGUAUAUAUAUAUUCAAGUGAGCUAUACAAAAGAAAGCACGUAACAUAUAUAAAUUAUAAAGCAUAAUAAUAAAAUGGAAGCUUUUGAACCUCAGUACUGACUUAAGAAGUUGUAACACAGUUAAGGUUUGUAUAAAGUGUCCUUAGAUGUCCUUAGUAGCCACUGUUCUCUAGUUCUCUAGGUACAUUAACUUGGCUAGGCUUCACAACACACCAGUGAGAUUGUGUUGAUAUACCCUUUUUUUUUUUUUUUUUUGAGACAGAGUGAGACUCACCUAGGCUGGACUGCAAUGGUGCAAUCUCGGCUCACUGCAACCUCCGCCUCUCAUGUUCAAGCCAUUCUCCUGCCUCAGCUUUCCGAAUCGCUGGGAUUACAGGUGCGCACCACCAUGCAUGGCUAAUGCUUGUAUUUUAGUAGAGACGGGGUUUUGCUAUGUUGGCCAGGCUGGUCUCAAACUCCUGACUUCAGGUGAUCCACCCACCUCAGCCUCCCAAAGUGCUGGGAUUACAGGUGUGAGCCACUGCCCCCGGCUGAUAUACUCAUUUUAUAGAUGAGAAAACUGAGGCACAAAGAGACUAAGUUACUUUACAGCAUUGGGGUUGAAGCCCAGGCAGCUGGUGCCAGAGUCAGUUUUCUGACUCUCGCAGCACCUAUACCAUGAUAUCUACCUGUAUGAUUCUAACCUUGUGUAUACCCCUGCCUCCUUCAGAAGUACCCACUAUCAUGAUAAAUUCAUUGUGUUCAACAUUCAAAAAAAAAAUGGGGCGCAGUGGCUCACUCCUGUAAUCCCAACACUUUGGGAGGCCAAGGCAGGUGUAUCACCUGAUGUCAGGAGUUCGAGACCAGCCUGGCCAACAUGGUGAAACCCCCGUCUCUACUAAAAAUACAAAAAUUAGCCGGCAUGGUGGUGGGCACCUGUAAUCUCAGCUACUCGGGAGGCUGAGGCAGGAGGAUCGCUUGAGCCCGCGAGGUGGAGGUUGCGGUGAGCCAAGAUUGCGCCGCUGGACUCCAGUCUGGGCGACAGAGUGAGACCCUGUCUCAAAAGGAAAAGAAAAAAAAGACCUCUAAACAACCCACAAACUGGGAGAAAAUUUUUGCAAAUCACAUGUUCCAUAAGGGACUUGUAUCUAGGAUACAUAAAAUUCUUACAACUCAGUAAUGAAAAGACAAAUAGCCAAGUUUAGAAAUGGGCAAGGGAGACAACACCAAAUGCUGGUGAGGAUGUGAAGCAACAGGAACUCUCCUUACUGGUAGGAACGCAAAAUGGUACAGCAGCUUUGGAAGACAGUUUGGCUUUCUGACAAAACUAAACAUACUCCCAUCAGAAGAUCCAGCCAUUGCAUUCCUUAGUGUUUACCCAAAUGAGCUGAAAACUUAUGUCCACACAGAAACCUGCACAUGGAUGUUUACAGCAGCUUUUGUUUUUGUUUUUGUUUUUGAGAUGGAGUCUCGCUCUGUCACCCAGGGUGGAGUGCAGUGGCGCGAUCUCGGCUCACUGGAAGCUCUGCCUCCUGGGUUCACGCCAUUCUCCUGCCUCAGCCUCCAAGUAGCUGGGACUACAGGCGCCUGCCACGAAGCCCAGCUAAUUUUUUGUAUUUUAAGUAGAGACGGGGUUUCACCAUGUUAGCCAGGAUGGUCUCGAUCUCCUGACCUCGUGAUCUGCCCGCCUUGGCCUCCCAAAGUUCUGGGACUACAGGCGUGAGCCACCGCUCCCGGCCAGCAGCAGCUUUAUUUGUAAUUGCCAAAACUUGAAAGCAACCAAGAUGUCCUUUAGCAGGUAAAUGGAUAAAUAAACCUUGGUAUAUCCAGACAAUGGACUAUAUUCAGCACUAGAAAGAAAUGAGCUAUUAAGCCAUGAAAAGGCAUGGAGAAACCUUAAAUGCAUAUUAGUAAGUGAAAGAAGACAAUCUGAAAGAGCUACAUACUGUAUGAUUCCAACUAUAUUACAUCCUGGAAAAGGCAAAACUAUGGAGACAAUAAAAAAGAUGGCAGGGGCUGGGAGUGGGGAGAAAUGCACAGAGGUGGUGCACAGAGAAUAUUUAGGGUAGUGAAAUUACUCUGGAUGUUAUAAUGGUGGAUACAUGUUAUUACACAUUUGUCAAACCCUACAGGAUGUACAACACCAAGAAUGAAACCUAAUGUAAACUAUGGGAUAUGGGUGAUACUGGUGUGUCAAUGUAGCUUCAUUGCUUAUAACAAAUAUAUCCUCUGGUGCCUGAUGUUGUUGGUGGGGGGAGGCUAUGAGUGUGUGUGGGGUGGGGGAACCCUGUAUUUUCUGUUCAGUUUUGCUGUGAACUCGAAACUGCUCUUAAAGAUGAAAUUUUUAUUUUAAUGGGUAAAGUAUUUGAAUAACCAUUUCUCCAAAGAGGAUAUACGGGUGACCAAUAAGUACAUGAAAAGACAUUCAACAUCAUGAGCCAUUAGGGAAAUAAAAAUCAAAA
rnacentral:lncRNA from 1 species